AGGUACCGUCACUUUCGCUUCUUCCCUGCUGAAAGCGGUUUACAACCCGAAGGCCUUCAUCCCGCACGCGGCGUCGCUGGGUCAGACUUUCGUCCAUUGCCCAAUAUUCCCCACU
rnacentral:rRNA from 1 species